GCCCAGUCUCGCCCCGCCCUGCUCUCUCCUCCUCGUUCUCAAUGGAAGAGCUGCAUCAGCGGCGCAGAGGCAGUGUAGCAAGGGGGCCGCCAGGCACAGGGAGGGAAGGAAGCUGGGGAGGAGUUCUCAGGCCUCCUCCCACCUCUCCUAUCACCUCUUCUGCCAUCUCGUCCCUUCUGUAUUAUUCUUUUCUUCUUCCCCUCCUUUUCUACAGCUGAUGUUGUAUUAGCAGAGGCCCAGUCACACCAGCUGAAUGAAGAUUCUGUAUCAUGUCAUGGAGAGAAUCUAGAGUACUUGAAGACGGUGCUGGCAAGAAAAGAGCUAGGGUAAGAAGACAGAGGUCCAUUGUGAAAAAGAACACUAUCCACAUUCAGCGGAAGAACUGUGGGAGUGGAAACAUAGAAGAAAAACAUAUGAUUGAUCACAUGGUAUCCUCUACUGUUGGUCCUCCAACCUCUACUUAUAUAUUUUCAGUGAUGCAUCUUUCAAGGUAACUCAUUACAAUAUCAGACAGCUCUGAUUAUUAGGAAGCUUGCUUUAAUAUUGAGUGGAGAUUUGCUCCCUUUUCACACCCUUCAUGGGGUAGCAUGUUUUGGUGGAUCAUAUUCCAGAAUUGGAAUUUGGAAGGCCAGCAUUCAAAUUCUGCUUCAGGUUACUAGUUGUAUGACCCUGGAUUAAUCGUUUAACCUCUUUCAGCAUUUUAGCUUCUUUUUGUAAAAUGAGGAGGUUGGGCUUGAUGGCUC
rnacentral:lncRNA from 1 species